AACUGAGGAUAAUACUGGAUAGGCAAUUAUUCCUGUAAUGGUUUUUUGUUUAAAUGUUUUUUCGCCUAAGGAUGAGUCUGCGGCCGAUUAGGUAGUUGGUUAGGUAAUGGCUUACCAAGCCGUUGAUCGGUACGGGUUGUGAGAGCAAGAGCCCGGAGAUGGAACCUGAGACAAGGUUCCAGGCCCUACGGGGUGCAGCAGGCGCGAAACCUCCGCAAUGUGAGAAAUCGCGACGGGGGGAUCCCAAGUGCCAUUCUUAACGGGAUGGCUUUUCAUUAGUGUAAAGAGCUUUUGGAAUAAGAGCUGGGCAAGACCGGUGCCAGCCGCCGCGGUAACACCGGCAGCUCU
rnacentral:rRNA from 1 species